UAAAGGAGAAUUUGGAGGGAAGACAGGACCCAUUUACCUCUCAAGAAAUAUAUAAAGAAAUUUGAAAGUGAGAAUGACAUUUCUUUAUCCUCCUACAAAGUUUAAUAACUGAUGAGUUUUUGUUUGUUUUUGUUUUAGGUCUUAUUUUCUUAUCAGAAGAAUAGACGGACCUGAGUUAUGAUGUAAACUUCUAUCUUUUUUUUUCUGGCUUCCUAUUUAGAGAAUGAGAACAUAUGAAGUGCAUGCAUAUACCUGGCGUCCCGUGACGGCUAAGGAUCCAAAUGAAUUCUAGUUGGCAAGGAGAGAGGAAAAGAGCUGACACAUCACUGUCUUACUGCUGGGAGCAGCAAGUUAUGAGCUCCUGCCUAUGGUGUGUCACAUGGACUGUGAGACCCUGUGACCCUCCCAACUCCUGCCUGCACACCCAGGUGAG